rnacentral:lncRNA from 1 species
AUCACUUAUAGCUUAUUAUUUGUACUAAUAAAGUGUAUCUUCUGCAGAGCCUCAAACUGAGAAAGAGAGAAAGCCAGUAUGGGAGAAAACAAAACAGAACAGGAAGAGGAAAAAAUACAUCCAAAGGGCUGGUCACAAUGACUUGGCAGAUUUAGCAGCCACACUUUUACAUGUGCCUGGAGGUCCUCGCAAUUAAGAGGGUCUAUGGUUGAGGAGUUUUGAGUUCCCUUGUGCCCCCAAGGUGGAUUACUUCUUCUUAUUACUGCAGUCUUCCCUUUUGGUGGAGGAAUCUGUCCAUCAUUCACUAUGUCAUUUAUUACACAUUUAUCUUAAAUCUGCAGAAAAAUUUAUUAAAAAAAAAUAUUUUCCCUCUCAGUAUUUACUCUUUGUUUUUUAACA